CCUGGCCGGCAAAUUUAUUCUUUUACAUAUUUACAAUGUAAUGCUUAUCACGUGCCAGCUGUGUUCCAGGCAGUGGGCCAUUGCAAUAGGAAUGCAAGUAUACAAACCAUGUACAAAUUAAGUAAAUUAAACAUAUACAAAGAAUCGAGAUUGUCAGUUGCCAUUGAGCUCCACAAACACUGAAUGACUUCAAUUUGCUAGAUACUAUGUUAGGUAUUCAAAAUUUGAAACCUUCAAGGACUUCUUGGGCCUGGAAAAUGAUACAGUCAGGAAGCAACUACAAUGCAGAGUGGUAAAUGCUGCUAUGGACAUCAAGGGACAUGAGAAAAGCAUAUGCUGGUGGCAUAGACUAUUUUUUUGAGAUAUCUCCUUCAUUCUUCACGCUUCUGCCAGUAGUCCAAGGCCAGGGUUCAUCUCUGUCAUCCCAUCUAAGUUUUGCCUUUCCAGGUUUUAAAAGUUUCUAAUUUAACUUGAGAUUCCAAAAGUCUUAAGUUUUACGCCGCACUUGUUUGAAUUGUGCUUACCUAUCAAUAAAAUGUUUUAAGCCC
ensembl:lncRNA novel transcript